rnacentral:tRNA from 1 species
AUUUAUAUAGUUUAAAAAACAUUUUAUUUUCAUUAAAAAAAUAGUAUAUAAUACUUGUAAAUA